GACGAACGCUGGCGGUGUGCUUAACACAUGCAAGUCGAACGGAAAGGCACUGCUUUUGUGGGGUGCUCGAGUGGCGAACGCGUGAGUAUCAGGUGUGUAACCUGCCCUAGACUUUGGGAUAACUUCAGGAAACGGGGGUUAAUACCGUACAGCAUCCCCUGUUGCAUGGUGGGGGUUGGAAAGUUGCGGCGGUUGCGGAUGGACUGGCGGCUUACCAGCUUGCUGGUGGGGUAGUGGCUUACCAAGGCUUUGACGGAUAGCCCGCCUGGGUGGGUGACCAGCGUCAAUGGUACUGCGAGAGGGAGCAGACUGGUAUGGGAGACAGCAGGCGGGAGUAUGGCACAGUGGGCGGACGCCGGAUGAAGAGACGCCGCGGGCGGGAUGACGGCUUUCGGGGAGUGAACCGCUGUAGCCUGUGACGAAGCUGGAGUGACGGUACUGGGUGAAGAGGCACCGGCUAACUACGUG
rnacentral:rRNA from 1 species